UCACUAAGCGGAGGACAAGAACUAACCAGGAUUCCCCUAGUAACGGCGAGUGAAGAAGGAAUAGCCCAUCACCGAAGCCUGCGGUAGUUUUACUGCUAGGCAAUGUGGUGUUUGGGUCGGCUCGCGGGAUUGCCACUCCACUCUAAGUCCAGCACUGAAUAUGGUUCCCUGAAUUGGGCCCAGAAAGGGUGAAAGGCCCGUGCAAAUGGAGGUUCAAACAUGUGAGGCAAUUCACCGGGCCGACCUUCGAGUCGGGUUGUUUGGGAAUGCAGCCCAAAGC
rnacentral:rRNA from 1 species